GGUGGCCGUUAUUAUUUUGUUCCUUUUGGGCCACUGUAAGUACACCUGGAGAUCUAACUACUGUUUAUGACCUCGUUGCUAUGGGCAGUGUUUUCCAAGUUCCAAACCCUGGGAAUACAGCCCAGGGACCACAGAGGAUUUAUCAGGGGUGGCUGCCAAUCAUCUUGGAGUCUCAUGGUUUUCUGCUUGUUGGUUCUGCCCCACAGCAGGAGAAAGACAGCUGUGGAAGGGGAAGAGACUCCCGGAAGAGCACCUGGUUGCAAGGUACAGCAGCAGCGCAAUCACGGCCCAGGAAGAUUCACCCCUCACACCUUCCCCUCCUUCCCCACCACUCACCUGAGAUCCUCUGCCAAGUGCCAGCUCUUAAAUCUGCGGACCCAGCCAUUCACACAACCUCCCCUGCUACCACAGGACCCCAGCUCCGCUAUCUCACCUGGACAAUGGCUUCCUUUACCCUCUCAUGCUCCACUUUCCUAAGUUUGUUCCACACAUCGAAGCAAGAGUGAUCGUUUCAAAACACAAAACAAAGCCGGUAUCUUGCUUGAAACCUUUCAAUGGUUUUCAGCUGCUUUCAGAAUAAAACUUACUCUCAUGAAGCCUCAUGUCUAGCUAGCCUUUCCUCCCAUCUCACUCAAGCCAUGCCAGCCUUUAUCAUGGUCUCCUGACCCACCCCAGAUAUUCCCUAGGUUCUUUUCCUCACAAUUGGUUAAAAACUGUUACCUAAAACAUUACUUUCUCAAAAAAGCUUCCCCUUAUGUACAGGGUAAGUCCUGUAGUGGGUUAGUUAGGUCCAGAACUAUAGUAACUUUCCCAAAAAA
rnacentral:lncRNA from 1 species